rnacentral:rRNA from 1 species
UGUGUGACUGCGUACCUUUUGUAUAAUGGGUCAGCGACUUAUAUUCUGUAGCAAGGUUAACCGAAUAGGGGAGCCGGAGGGAAACCGAGUCUUAAUUGGGCGUUAAGUUGCAGGGUAUAGACCCGAAACCCGGUGAUCUAGCCAUGGGCAGGUUGAAGGUUGGGUAACACUAACUGGAGGACCGAACCGACUAAUGUUGAAAAAUUAGCGGAUGACCUGUGGCUGGGGGUGAAAGGCCAAUCAAACCGGGAGAUAGCUGGUUCUCCCCGAAAGCUAUUUAGGUAGCGCCUCGUGAAUUCAUCUCCGGGGGUAGAGCACUGUUUCGGCUAGGGGGCCAUCCCGGCUUACCAACCCGAUGCAAAC